GACGAACGCUGGCGGCGUGCUUAACACAUGCAAGUCGAACGGAAAGGCCCUGCUUUUGUGGGGUGCUCGAGUGGCGAACGGGUGAGUAACACGUGAGUAACCUGCCCUUGACUUUGGGAUAACUUCAGGAAACUGGGGCUAAUACCGGAUAGGAGCUCCUGCUGCAUGGUGGGGGUUGGAAAGUUUCGGCGGUUGGGGAUGGACUCGCGGCUUAUCAGCUUGUUGGUGGGGUAGUGGCUUACCAAGGCUUUGACGGGUAGCCGGCCUGAGAGGGUGACCGGCCACAUUGGGACUGAGAUACGGCCCAGACUCCUACGGGAGGCAGCAGUGGGGAAUAUUGCACAAUGGGCGGAAGCCUGAUGCAGCAACGCCGCGUGCGGGAUGACGGCCUUCGGGUUGUAAACCGCUUUCGCCUGUGACGAAGCGUGAGUGACGGUAAUGGGUAAAGAAGCACCGGCUAACUACGUGCCAGCAGCCGCGGUGAUACGUAGGGUGCGAGCGUUGUCCGGAUUUAUUGGGCGUAAAGGGCUCGUAGGUGGUUGAUCGCGUCGGAAGUGUAAUCUUGGGGCUUAACCCUGAGCGUGCUUUCGAUACGGGUUGACUUGAGGAAGGUAGGGGAGAAUGGAAUUCCUGGUGGAGCGGUGGAAUGCGCAGAUAUCAGGAGGAACACCAGUGGCGAAGGCGGUUCUCUGGGCCUUUCCUGACGCUGAGGAGCGAAAGCGUGGGGAGCGAACAGGCUUAGAUACCCUGGUAGUCCACGCUGUAAACGGUGGGUACUAGGCGUGGGGUCCAUUCCACGGGUUCCGUGCCGUAGCUAACGCUUUAAGUACCCCGCCUGGGGAGUACGGCCGCAAGGCUAAAACUCAAAGGAAUUGACGGGGCCCCGCACAAGCGGCGGAGCAUGCGGAUUAAUUCGAUGCAACGCGUAGAACCUUACCUGGGUUUGACAUGGAUCGGGAGUGCUCAGAGAUGGGUGUGCCUCUUUUGGGGUCGGUUCACAGGUGGUGCAUGCCUGUCGUCAGCUCGUGUCGUGAGAUGUUGGGUUAAGUCCCGCAACGAGCGCAACCCUUGUUCACUGUUGCCAGCACGUUAUGGUGGGGACUCAGUGGAGACCGCCGGGGUCAACUCGGAGGAAGGUGGGGAUGACGUCAAGUCAUCAUGCCCCUUAUGUCCAGGGCUUCACGCAUGCUACAAUGGCUGGUACAGAGAGUGGCGAGCCUGUGAGGGUGAGCGAAUCUCGGAAAGCCGGUCUCAGUUCGGAUUGGGGUCCGCAACUCGACCUCAUGAAGUCGGAGUCGCUAGUAAUCGCAAAUCAGCAACGCUGCGGUGAAUUACGUUCCCGGGGCC
rnacentral:rRNA from 1 species